rnacentral:rRNA from 1 species
AUACGGAGGGUGCAAGCGUUAUCCGGAAUCAUUGGGUUUAAAGGGUCCGUAGGCGGACUAUUAAGUCAGAGGUGAAAUCCCACAGCUCAACUGUGGAACUGCCUUUGAUACUGGUAGUCUUGAGUUAUAUGGACGUAGAUAGAAUGUGUAGUGUAGCGGUGAAAUGCAUAGAUAUUACACAGAAUACCGAUUGCGAAGGCAGUCUAUUACGUAUAUACUGACGCUAAGGGACGAAAGCGUGGGGAGCGAACAGGAUUAGAUACCCGGGUAGUCC